rnacentral:tRNA from 1 species
UGCAUCGGCCAGGAAUCAAACCCUGGCCGCCCGCGUGGCAGGCGAGCAUUCUACCACUGAACCAUCGAUGC